ensembl:lncRNA
AAUAAUGAGGCUAUAUACAGGGGGUACCGGUACAGAGUCAAUGUGGAGGCUAUAUACAGGGGGUACCGGUACAGAGUCAAUGUGGAGGCUAUAUACAGGGGGUACCAGUACAGAGUCAAUGUGGAGGCUAUAUACAGGGGGUACCGGUACAGAGUCAAUGUGGAGGCUAUAUACAGGGGGUACCAGUACAGAGUCAGUGUGGAGGCUAUAUACAGGGGGCACCGGUACAGAGUCAAUGUGGAGGCUAAAUACAGGUGGUACCAGUACAGAGUCAAUGUGGAGGCUAUAUACAGGGGGUACCGGUACCGAGUCAGGGUGGAGGCUAUAUACAGGGGGCACCGGUACAGAGUCAGUGUGGAGGCUAUAUACAGGUGGUACCGGUACAGAGUCAGGGUGGAGGCUAUAUACAGGGGGCACCGUUACAGAUUCAAUGUGGAGGCUAUAUACAGGGGGUACCGGUACAGAGUCAAUGUGGAGGCUAUAUACAGGGGGCACUGGUACAGAGUCAAUGUGGAGGCUAUAUACAGGGGGUACCAGUACAGAGUCAAUGUGGAGGCUAUAUACAGGGG